rnacentral:rRNA from 1 species
AUUGAACGCUGGCGGCAGGCCUAACACAUGCAAGUCGAACGAGUGGCGGACGGGUGAGUAAUGUCUGGGAAACUGCCUGAUGGAGGGGGAUAACUACUGGAAACGGUAGCUAAUACCGCAUACCUUCGGUUCUGCCCAGAUGGGCUUAGCUAGUGGGUGGGGUAACGGCUCACCUAGGCGACGAACCCUAGCAUGUCUGAGUGGAGGACCAGCCAGACUGGAACUGAGACACGGUCCAGACUCCUACGGGAGGCAGCAGUGGGGAAUAUUGCACAAUGGGCGCAAGCCUGAUGCAGCCAUGCCGCGUGUAUGAAGAAGGCCUUCGGGUUUUAAAGUACUUUCAGCGGGGAGGCGUUACCCGCAGAAGAAGCACCGGCUAACUCCGUGCCAGCAGCCGCGGUAAUAC